UACGGGGGGAGCAAGCGUUGUUCGGAUUUACUGGGCGUAAAGGGCGCGUAGGCGGUCAGCACAAGUCAGUUGUGAAAUCUCCGGGCUUAACUCCGGAACUGCCAUUGAGACUGUAAGACUUGAGGAUGAGAGAGGUGAGUGGAAUUCCCAGUGUAGAGGUGAAAUUCGUAGAUAUUCGGAAGAACACCAGUGGCGAAGGCGACUUACUGGACACAUAUUGACGCUGAGGUGCGAAAGCGUGGGGAGCAAACAGG
rnacentral:rRNA from 1 species